rnacentral:misc_RNA from 1 species
AAGUCGUAACAAGGUUUCCGUAGGUGAACCUGCGGAAGGAUCAUUAUUGAAUUCAUAUAUGCGAAGGAGUUGUGCUGGUAAUGAAUAUUGCAUGUGCACACUCUGGAGCUAUAUAAUAUAUACACCUGUGAACCAACUGUAGUCAGGAGAAAUCCUAACUAUGAUCACCCUAUAUAACUCUUAUUGUAUGUUACAUAGAACGAUCUCAUAUUGAAACUUUGUUUCCUGACAAGUUUCUCUUAAUUAAAAAAUAUACAACUUUCAACAACGGAUCUCUUGGCUCUU